UGAAAGGAAAAAAGCAUGCAUUUUAGAAUUUAAAAAAUAGUUGCUUCUAAAAAAUGAGCUGCUUUUGUGCAAAUAAAAUCAAGUCAAUAAAAUGAUUGUUUUUUAAUACAUGACUAAAAAUUAUCUCGAUUUCUGACUACAUAUUUAAUAUAGUAUAUUUAGCCCCGCCUUCUGAAUGAAAGAGCCAAUCGCUAAUCCGUAAAGUCAGUGCGUCACUGCAGCUGCAGUUAGAAGUCCCGGUUGAAACCAAACAGUCAGCGCUCUGAGACUUGCGCUCAGGACUGCGCAUGCGCACUGGCUGAUCUAGUCUGAGAAAUAAGCUUUUUAUAACGCUAUUUGAGCAAAAGAAACAACAUUAAUGAUACAGUUGUUGUCAGAUUUCUUUGGUGAUUUCAAAUAUGAAAUUUAAUCGUAAGUUUAGUGAACAGUUUUGGAGAAUUGGAUGUUUCCCCAUUCAGAGAUAGGAGCUGCACUUGCAUGCCCGAGAGGCGUUUCAAAGAUGGCCGCCGAGUGACAUGACUUGUUUUAAGACUUUGGUACUACUAAGUAUACUAUACACUUAAGUAUGUUACUGAAAUCACUAUCUACCAUUACGCCAGGUUUAGAUUAUUUUACAGUUAAUGGAGGGUUGCAGACCUGUUCUGACUACAGUUUGUUUGGUCGCACUAGUGAUUAUCACAUUUAUAUGGGAAACGGCAAAUGCAGUGGUGUUCAUUUGAACCGCGCCGCACGGACCAUGUAACUUGUCGGUCCAGUAUAUAACGUUAGCGCAGCGGCAGCUUAGUCCAGAGAGAAGCGCUCAAAAUCGACAAUGGAUUCUUCCGUGAUAGGAAAAACUGCAACAGUGGAAUCUCUGACAGUUCACUGAAACAUUUCAAAAGGAAUACUAAUUCCAAGAACUUUAAACGGGGAGACAAUGGAAGAGAAGACCUUACUACAAGCAGUGGAUCUGUGUUGCAAACUUUUCUAUGUGUAUGACAUCAACUACCCAAAGCCUUUUGCUCCCAUUUGGGAGUUUUUGCAGCACAGUCUUUAAUAUUCCAAGAUUUCCUUCAACACACUGCCUCCUCCUUAAAAAUGUUUUAUUUAGUGAUCAGUAAAAGCUUUUUAUUUUACUGAUCAUCAGUCGGUCCUUAUAGUUUUUUUCAACUACUUACACACAUUUUCAAAACUUUGCCUCUUUUUUUUCAAAACUUUACACACAAAUCCAAGAAUUGCACACAAAAUGCAAAAUGCCUCACAUUUCUUGCAAAAUGAAGCACUGCAUUCAAAAUAUCACAAACAUAUCUCAAAAGCAAACACCUUUGCCAUAAUAUUAAUUCCUGUUAAAUUGUUGUGUUACAUAGAGAAUGGUGUGUGUUUUGCAAAAAGUGUUUUAUGAAAUUGAAAACUGAGUCAAAGGCUGAGAAUUAGUGUAUGGUUUUGCAGAUUUGGUGUGUGCUUUGCUGUUUGAGUGUCAGCUUUCAGAAAUUGUGUGACAAGUAAAGAUUUUGUGUAUAUGCAGAUGAAAAAAAACAGUAUAACUUGUGUUUGAUUAAUUUUUAUUGAUAUAUGUUUGUAUGUUAUGUUUGUUUUAUUUGUGUACUGUAUUUGCACAUUUGUGUAUGUUUUGAUAUGAAUGAAUAUGAAUUGAGACACAUUUGUUGGUUUUGAAUUCACUGUACAUCUUGAAAAUGUUAGUUGUAU